rnacentral:rRNA from 1 species
CUGACGUGGGUGCUAGCCUCUAAAAUUUAGCCAUGCAUGCUUUGUGAACCCAGACGGGGGAACGGCGAACGGCUCAGUAAUGUUGCGGUGAUCUGCUCUGGUUGAAAAAAAUAACCACGGUAAACUGUGGCUAAAAGACCAGAAUGAACUGCAACCCUAUCAGUUUGUUGGAAGUGUAAAAAACUCCCAAUACGUCGACGGGUAACGGGAAAUCAGUGUUUGAUUCCGGAGAGGGAGCCUGAGAGAUGGCUCCCACGUCCAAGGAUGGCAGCAGGCGCGAAAAUUGUCCACUCUUUGGAGAGGAGACAGUUAUGAGGCGUGAUUAAAAGAGCGAAGUGUAAACACCUUCGUGUAACGCAAUUGGAGGGCAAGUUUUGGUGCCAGCAGCCGCGGUAAUUCCAACUCCAAGAGUGCCCUUGGUGGAUGCUGCAGUUAAAAAGUCCGUAGUCGUAAAUGCAAUUAAAGGGUGCGGACCAAGCGCACUGAGUUUGUUGAGUUGUAGCGGAGUGGAUAGGGAGCAUGGUAUAGGUUGGCGAAGACUGAAAUCUCAUGGCCCAACCUGGACCAACUGAGGCGAAAGCGGUGCUCUUAUACGCAUCCGAGGAUCAAGGACGAAGGCUGGAGGAUCGAAAGUGAUUAGAUACCGCUGUAGUUCCAGCAGUAAACUAUGCCGACAUUCUCUGUCCAGCGGACGGGGAAGGGAGAAAUCUUAGUUUUCGGGCUCUGGGGAUAGUACGCUUGCAAGAGUGAAACUUAAAGCGAAAUUGACGGAAGGACACUACCCGGAGUGGAUUGUACUGCUUAAUUUGACUCAACGCGGGAAAACUUACCAGGGUCAAGUUCUCCGUAGAUCGAGUACGUGAGGGGAACGAGAGUGGUGCAUGGCCGUUGGAAAUUGAUGGGAUGACUUUUAGCUUAAAUGCUGAAACCAGUGAGAUCUUCUAGACAGGUGCAUCCGGCACAGGAGGGCGAAGGCGAUAACAGGUCCGUGAUGCCCUUAGAUAUCCUGGGCUGCAAGUGCAAUACAAUAUCCAUGUCGAUCAAGAAAGGUGAUUAUGGAUGAGCAGGAUUAGCUCUUGUAAAUGAGCUAUGAAUGAGGAAUUCCUAGUAAUAGUGUCUCACUAAGGCAUUGUGAAUGCGUCCCUGUUUCUUUGUACACACCG